rnacentral:lncRNA from 1 species
GGAGCAACAGGCCAGUGUAGCCUGAAGUUAGAUUGGCAGGAAGGAUCUGGCAAUUGCCUAGCAGGGUGUCAUUCGUACAUUUACUCAUUCAUUCAACCAAUGGUUUGUUCAGGAGUAGUUAUGCCAUGUGGGCACUGGUGAUAGAACAGUGAGCAAGAAGAUAUGGACUAGGCUCUCUCAGAGUUUAACUGGGCAGGGGCAGGGUGUGUCAGAGUAAGAGCCAGGAAAGGCUUCUGAUGAGGUGACAUUUGAGCCAAACUCUGAAAGAAGAGCAGUCCUGCAACCAUCUGCAAAAAAAGUAUCUGGGCAGAAGGAACAGUAAGCUCAGCAUCCCUGAAAUAAGAAGGAGCUUGGGGUGCUCAGAUCAGAAAAGAGAGUGUCUGUAAAACAAUAAGAUGUGGGUGGGGCAUGAGAAAUAAGAGAGAGUUAGGGGGCCAGAGCACCAGGGCCACAGCAGGUGGCAGCUUCAUUGGCGAGGUUGAAGACAGACACCACACUCUCAUAUCUACAAGGGUGAGCCUCAGAAGACAUCAUUCUUUUUUUUUUUAUUGGUUGUUCAAAACAUUACAAAGCUCAUGAUAUAUCAUCUUUCAUACAUUUGACUCAAUUGGGUUAUGAACUCCCAUUUUUACCCCAAAUACAAAUUGCAGAAUCACAUCGGUUAAGAAGACAUCAUUCUAAGUGAACUUGGUACACAAUCCACACCAAGUUCUAGAAUAGGCAAAACUAGACUGUGAUGGCAAAAAAAAUCAGAAUGGCAGCUGCCUCCCACGUGCCAGUUGGGCAGAAGACAGGAAUUGACUGGGAAAGGGCAUUAUGGGCAUUUCUGAUCAUGUUCUAUAUCUUAAUAGGGCUGUGGGACACACAGGUCAUGGUGACCAAAAUACCUGUCAAGAACAGCUAAGAGAAGGAAAAGUUUAUUUGGGGCUCACAGUUUC